rnacentral:rRNA from 1 species
GCAAGUCGAGCGGGCGUAGCAAUACGUCAGCGGCAGACGGGUGAGUAACGCGUGGGAACGUACCUUUUGGUUCGGAACAACACAGGGAAACUUGUGCUAAUACCGGAUAAGCCCUUACGGGGAAAGAUUUAUCGCCGAAAGAUCGGCCCGCGUCUGAUUAGCUAGUUGGUGAGGUAAUGGCUCACCAAGGCGACGAUCAGUAGCUGGUCUGAGAGGAUGAUCAGCCACAUUGGGACUGAGACACGGCCCAAACUCCUACGGGAGGCAGCAGUGGGGAAUAUUGGACAAUGGGGGCAACCCUGAUCCAGCCAUGCCGCGUGAGUGAUGAAGGCCCUAGGGUUGUAAAGCUCUUUUGUGCGGGAAGAUAAUGACGGUACCGCAAGAAUAAGCCCCGGCUAACUUCGUGCCAGCAGCCGCGGUAAUACGAAGGGGGCUAGCGUUGCUCGGAAUCACUGGGCGUAAAGGGUGCGUAGGCGGGUCUUUAAGUCAGGGGUGAAAUCCUGGAGCUCAACUCCAGAACUGCCUUUGAUACUGAAGAUCUUGAGUUCGGGAGAGGUGAGUGGAACUGCGAGUGUAGAGGUGAAAUUCGUAGAUAUUCGCAAGAACACCAGUGGCGAAGGCGGCUCACUGG